rnacentral:misc_RNA from 1 species
UACGGAGGGUGCAAGCGUUAAUCGGAAUUACUGGGCGUAAAGCGCACGCAGGCGGUCUGUCAAGUAGGAUGCGAAAUCCCCGGGCUCAACCUGGGAACGGCAUCCGGAACUGUCAGGCUAGAGUGCAGGAGAGGAAGGUAGAAUUCCCGGUGUAGCGGGGAAAGGCGUAGAGAUCGGGAGGAAUACCAGUGGCGUAGGCGGCCUUCUGGACUGACACUGACACUGCGGUGCGAAAGCAUGGGGAGCAAACAGG